UCUAGCAAGGUUCAUAAAAACUGGAGUAUAUAAAAAGAGGAGAUACCACAGAGAAGCAAGAAUCCUCUUAAUGCUGUAUGGACGUAUAAUCGUCAGCAUUCCCCACUGAAGAAAAGGAUGAUGACUGCAUUGUCCCAAAGGCUUUUCUCCAUCCUGGAUAUAGCGACAUGGAGUGAAGAAGAAAGGAGAAGAUUUCUUGCACUUUAUUAUGGCUCACCUAAGAGUGAAAUGACUGACAGCUGCUUUAGAAUUGUUGAGAAAGAGAAGGAAGCAAAACACACGGACUAGAGUUUGAACAAAUCGGCACCCCUUUCUCUUUUUCUUCUUCAUCACCCCCUCACUCACCGACUCAUCAGCCAGGCCACAACAACGAUGCCACCACUACCCACUCCUCUACUGUUUGUUCAACCACCAUAAGAAAAGCCCAGCUAAGACUACGCCCACUUCUGCUGCUACAACACACCUUCCUGCAGACCACAUUUCUGUUUGAGAUCCCGCCCCUUCCUAUCUUCCACCUAUAAAACCCCAGCACUCCACUCUCCAAAUCAGUCAUUGUUUUUGGCUCAC